GUCAGGGUAGCUCAGUUGGUGAGAGCGCAGGAUUCAUAACCCUGAGGUCGGGAGUUCGAAUCUCCCCCCUGACACAA
rnacentral:tRNA from 1 species